rnacentral:rRNA from 1 species
UACGUAGGGGGCUAGCGUUGUCCGGAAUCAUUGGCGUAAAGCGCGUGUAGGCGGUCCGGUAAGUCCGCUGUGAAAGUCGAGGGCUCAACCCUCGAAUGCCGGUGGAUACUGUCGGGCUUGAGUACGGGAGAGGCGAGUGGAAUUCCUGGUGUAGCGGUGAAAUGCGCAGAUAUCAGGAGGAACACCGAUUGCGAAGGCAGCUCGCUGGAACGUACUGACGCUGAGACGCGAAGCGUGGGAGCAAACAGG